AUUGAACGCUGGCGGAAUGCCUAACACAUGCAAGUCGAGCGAGGUGUAGCAAUACAUCUAGCGGCGGACGGGUGAGGAACACAUAGGAAUCUACCUUUUAGUGGGGGAUAACCCGGGGAACUCGGAUUAAUACCGCAUACGAUCUACGGAUGAAAGUGGGGGACCGCAAGGCCUCACGCUGUUAGAUGAGCCUAUGUCCGAUUAGCUAGUUGGUAGGGUAAUGGCCUACCAAGGCGACGAUCGGUAGCUGGUUUGAGAGGAUGAUCAGCCACACUGGGACUGAGAUACGGCCCAGACUCCUACGGGAGGCAGCAGUGGGGAAUAUUGGACAAUGGGGGCAACCCUGAUCCAGCAAUGCCGCGUGAGUGAUGAAGGCC
rnacentral:rRNA from 1 species